rnacentral:rRNA from 1 species
ACGGAGGGUGCAAGCGUUAAUCGGAAUUACUGGGCGUAAAGCGCGCGUAGGUUGUUUUGUAAGUCAGAGGUGUAAUCCCACGGCUUAACCGUGGAACUGCCUUUGAUACUGCAUAACUUGGAUCCGGGAGAGGACAGCGGAAUUCCAGGUGUAGGAGUGAAAUCCGUAGAUAUCUGGAAGAACAUCAGUGGCGAAGGCGGCUGUCUGGACCGGUAUUGACGCUGAGGCGCGAAAGCGUGGGUAGCAAACAG